rnacentral:tRNA from 1 species
CACUGGAUAGCUCAGAUGGGUAGAGCACAAGAUUGUUAAUCUUGAGGUCGCAGGUUCGACUCCUGUUCCACAAC